UUAGGUUCGGAGUCACUAGAGACUUUGAGCUCAUAACGGAUCAUGGCUUUGGACCUUGAUUUAUUCGCCUUCAAUGAGCUCGCGUUAGAUUAGAUAGUCGGUGGGGCUAGGCCUACCAAGUCGACGAUUUAUAGCUGGCUGAGAGGUGAUUAGCCACACUGGGACUGAGACACGGCCCAGACUUCCACGGGAGGCAGCAGUGGGGGAAUAUCCGGACAUUGGGGCGAUAGCCUGAACCCAGCAAUCGCCGCGUGAGUGAUGAUGGCCUUAGGGUUCGUAAAGCUUCCCCCACUAAGGGGAUGAAUAAACGACCAGUACCCUUAGAGAAAUAAAGCUUCCCGGCUCAAACUUCCCGUCGCCCAGCCAGCCCGCGGUAAAUCAACGGAAGGGAGCUAAGCGUUCGUUUCGGAAAUCUCAACUCGGGGCGUAAAAGCGCGCGUAAGGCGGCUCUCUCUUCAAGUUCAGGGGUUGAAAAUUCCCCGGAAGCUUCAAACUUCCCGGAAACUCGCCCCUCUCGAAAACUCGGAUUGGCUUAGAA
rnacentral:rRNA from 1 species